GUCUUUCGGUUCCUGGGGUAGUAUGGUUGCAAAGCUGAAACUUAAAGAAAUUGACGGAAUGGCACCACCAGGAGUGGAGCCUGCGGCUUAAUUUGACUCAACACGGGAAAACUCACCCGGCCCGGACACCGUAAGGAUUGACAGAUUGAAAGCUCUUUCUCGAUUUGGUGGUUGGUGGUGCAUGGCCGUUCUUAGUUGGUGGAGCGAUUUGUCUGGUUUAUUCCGAUAACGAGCGAGACUCUAGCCUGCUAAAUAGUGACUAGAUUUUUAUGUCUAGUCUACUUCUUAGAGGGAUAAGCGGUGUUUAGCCGCACGAGAUUGAGCGAUAACAGGUCUGUGAUGCCCUUAGAUGUCCGGGGCUGCACGCGCGCUACAAUGGAAGAAUCAGCUGGCCUAUCCAUUGCCGAAAGGUAUUGGUAAACCGUUGAAACUCUUCCGUGACCGGGAUAGGGAAUUGUAAUUAUUUCCCUUGAACGAGGAAUUCCUAGUAAGUGUGAGUCAUCAGCUCACGCUG
rnacentral:rRNA from 1 species